rnacentral:rRNA from 1 species
UACAGAGGUCUCAAGCGUUGUUCGGAUUCAUUGGGCGUAAAGGGUGCGUAGGUGGCGCUGUAAGUCGGGUGUGAAAUCUCGGAGCUUAACUCCGAAACUGCAUUCGAUACUGCGGUGCUUGAGGACUGGAGAGGAGACUGGAAUUCAUGGUGUAGCAGUGAAAUGCGUAGAGAUCAUGAGGAAGACCAGUGGCGAAGGCGGGUCUCUGGACAGUUCCUGACACUGAGGCACGAAGGCCAGGGGAGCAAACGGG